rnacentral:rRNA from 1 species
GGGGGGUGUUAGGGCACGACACCGGAGAGGGAGCCUGAGAAACGGCUACCACAUCCAAGGAUGGCAGCAGGCGCGCAAAUUACCCAAUCCCGACACGGGGAGGUAGUGACAAUAAAUAACAAUACGGGGUUCUUUCGGAUCUCGUAAUUGGAAUGAGUACAAUUUAAAUCUCUUAACGAGGAACAAUUGGAGGGCAAGUCUGGUGCCAGCAGCCGCGGUAAUUCCAGCUCCAAUAGCGUAUAUUAAAGUUGUUGCAGUUAAAAAGCUCGUAGUUGAAUUUCGGGGUUAGUAGAUUGGUCAUGCCAUCGGUAUGCACUGGUCUCACUGAUUCCUCCUUCCUGAUGAGCCGUAAUGCCAUUAAUUUGGUGUUGCGGGGAAUUUGGACUGUUACUUUGAAAAAAUUANAGUGUUUAAAGCAAGCUAACGCUUGAAUACAUUAGCAUGGAAUAAUGAAAUAGGACGUUCGAUCCUAUUUUGUUGGUUUCUAGGAUUGACGUAAUGAUUCAUAGGGAUAGUUGGGGGCAUAAUAWUUCAAUUUGUCAGAUGUGAAAUUUCUUGGAUUUWUU